rnacentral:rRNA from 1 species
UACAGAGGUCCCAAGCGUUGUUCGGAUUCACUGGGCGUAAAGGGUGCGUAGGCGGUCGGGUAAGUCUGACGUGAAAUCUCCAAGCUCAACUUGGAAAUGGCGUCGGAUACUAUUCGGCUCGAGGAAUGGAGGGGAGACUGGAAUUCUCGGUGUAGCAGUGAAAUGCGUAGAUAUCGAGAGGAACACCAGUGGCGAAGGCGAGUCUCUGGACAUUUCCUGACGCUGAGGAGCGAAAGUGUGGGAAGCGAACAGG